rnacentral:rRNA from 1 species
ACGCUGGCGGCAGGCUUAACACAUGCAAGUCGAACGGUAACAGGGAUUAGCUUGCUAAUUUGCUGACGAGUGGCGGACGGGUGAGUAAUGCUUGGGAAUCUGGCUUAUGGAGGGGGAUAACUACGGGAAACUGUAGCUAAUACCGCGUAAAAUCUUCGGAUUAAAGGGUGGGACUUUCGAGCCACCUGCCAUAAGAUGAGCCCAAGUGGGAUUAGGUAGUUGGUUAGGUAAAGGCUGACCAAGCCGACGAUCUCUAGCUGGUCUGAGAGGAUGACCAGCCACACUGGAACUGAGACACGGUCCAGACUCCUACGGGAGGCAGCAGUGGGGAAUAUUGCACAAUGGGGGGAACCCUGAUGCAGCCAUGCCGCGUGAAUGAAGAAGGCCUUCGGGUUGUAAAGUUCUUUCGGUGACGAGGAAGGUUGAUAGGUUAAUAGCCUAUCAAAUUGACGUUAAUCACAGAAGAAGCACCGGCUAACUCCGUGCCAGCAGCCGCGGUAAUACGGGGGGUGCGAGCGUUAAUCGGAAUAACUGGGCGUAAAGGGCACGCAGGCGGUGACUUAAGUGAGAUGUGAAAGCCCCGGGCUUAACCUGGGAAUUGCAUUUCAUACUGGGUCGCUAGAGUACUUUAGGGAGGGGUAGAAUUCCACGUGUAGCGGUGAAAUGCGUAGAGAUGUGGAGGAAUACCGAAGGCGAAGGCAGCCCCUUGGGAAUGUACUGACGCUCAUGUGCGAAAGCGUGGGGAGCAAACAGGAUUAGAUACCCUGGUAGUCCACGCUGUAAACGAUGUCGAUUUGGGGAUUGGGCUUUGAGCUUGGUGCCCGUAGCUAACGUGAUAAAUCGACCGCCUGGGGAGUACGGCCGCAAGGUUAAAACUCAAAUGAAUUGACGGGGGCCCGCACAAGCGGUGGAGCAUGUGGUUUAAUUCGAU